rnacentral:rRNA from 1 species
UGGGGAAUAUUGCACAAUGGGCGCAAGCCUGAUGCAGCCAUGCCGCGUGUAUGAAGAAGGCCUUCGGGUUGUAAAGUACUUUCAGCGGGGAGGAAGGGAGUAAAGUUAAUACCUUGGCUCAUUGACGUUACCCGCAGAAGAAGAACGGGCUAACUCCGUGCCAGCAGCCGCGGUAAUACGGAGGGUGCAAGCGUUAAUCGGAAUUACUGGGCGUAAAGCGCACGCAGGCGGUUUGUUAAGUCAGAUGUGAAAUCCCCGGGCUCAACCUGGGAACUGCAUCUGAUACUGGCAAGCUUGAGUCUCGUAGAGGGGGGUAGAAUUCCAGGUGUAGCGGUGAAAUGCGUAGAGAUCUGGAGGAAUACCGGUGGCGAAGGCGGCCCCCUGGACGAAGACUGACGCUCAGGUGCGAAAGCGUGGGGAGCAAACAGG